AGUGAACGCUGGCGGUAGGCCUAACACAUGCAAGUCGAACGGCAGCACAGAGUAGCUUGCUCCUUGGGUGGCGAGUGGCGGACGGGUGAGGAAUACAUCGGAAUCUACUCUGUCGUGGGGGAUAACGUAGGGAAACUUACGCUAAUACCGCAUACGACCUACGGGUGAAAGCAGGGGAUCUUCGGGCCUUGCGCGAUUGAAUGAGCCGAUGUCGGAUUAGCUAGUUGGCGGGGUAAAGGCCCACCAAGGCGACGAUCCGUAGCUGGUCUGAGGGGAUGAUCAGCCACACUGGAACUGAGACACGGGCCAGACUACUACGGGAGGCAGCAGUGGGGAAUAUUGGACAAUGGGCGCAAGCCUGAGCCGGCCAUACCGCGUGGGUGAAGAAGGCCUUCGGGUUGUAAAGCCCUUUUGUUGGGAAAGAAAUCCAGCUGGCUAAUACCCGGUUGGGAUGACGGUACCCAAAGAAUAAGCACCGGCUAACUUCGUGCCAGCAGCCGCAGUAA
rnacentral:rRNA from 1 species